rnacentral:rRNA from 1 species
GGAAGGGUGGGCUUCACACCAUGCAGUCGAGCGAGACCUUCGGGUCUAGCGGCGGACGGGUGAGUAACGCGUGGGAAUGUGCCCUUCUCUACGGAAUAGUCCCGGGAAACUGGGUUUAAUACCGUAUACGCCCUUCGGGGGAAAGAUUUAUCGGAGAAGGAUCAGCCCGCGUCUGAUUAGGUAGUUGGUGGGGUAAUGGCCUACCAAGCCUACGAUCAGUAGCUGGUUUUAGAGGAUGAUCAGCCACACUGGGACUGAGACACGGCCCAGACUCCUACGGGAGGCAGCAGUGGGGAAUCUUAGACAAUGGGCGCAAGCCUGAUCUAGCCAUGCCGCGUGAGUGAUGAAGGCCUUAGGGUCGUAAAACUCUUUCGCCAGGGAUGAUAAUGACAGUACCUGGUAAAGAAGCCCCGGCUAACUCCGUGCCAGCAGCCGCGGUAAUACGGAGGGGGCUAGCGUUGUUCGGAAUUACUGGGCGUAAAGCGCGCGUAGGCGGACUAUUAAGUCAGGGGUGAAAUCCCGGGGCUCAACCCCGGAACUGCCCUUGAUACUGGUAGUCUUGAGUUCGAGAGAGGUGAGUGGAAUUCCGAGUGUAGAGGUGAAGUGCGUAGAUAUUCGGAGGAACAGCAGUGGCGAAGGCGUCUCACUGGCUCGAUACUGACGCUGAGGUGCGAAAGUGUGGGGAGCACACAGGAUUAGAUACCCUGGUAGUCCACACCGUACACGAUGAAUGCCAGUCGUCGGGAAGCAUGCUUGUCGGUGACACACCUAACGGAUUAAGCAUUGCAGUCUGGGGAGUACGGUCGCAAGGAUUAAAACUCAAAGGAAUUGACGGGGGGGCCCGGCAUAAGCGGCGGGAGCAUGUGGGUCUAAUUCGAAGCAUCGCGCAGAGCCGUGAUUAACCUUGGACAUCCUGUGCAACUCCGGAGAGCAUCGGACGAUUUCCCUUCGGGGACGCAG